AAAAAAGAAAAAAGGAAAAAGAAAGGGACUAAUUGAGCUAUGAAAAAAAACAUAUAAAUAACUAUAAGCAUGAAAACUGCAUUAGAAGAGGGAAAAGAGUGUCAUCUAUUGUCUCCUAGGGAAAAAGGAAGAUGAACAAGAACAAGAUAGCAACAUUCAAUUUGCAUGGGAAUUCAAGUUUCUUACAUAAAAAAAAGGCUACUCAUUGGAU
rnacentral:misc_RNA from 1 species